rnacentral:rRNA from 1 species
AUCGACGGGGGAGUUUGGCACCUCGAUGUCGGCUCAUCACAUCCUGGGGCUGUAGCCGGUCCCAAGGGUAUGGCUGUUCGCCAUUUAAAGUGGUACGCGAGCUGGGUUUAGAACGUCGUGAGACAGUUCGGUCCCUAUCUGCCGUGGGCGCUGGAGAUUUGAGAGGAGCUGUCCUUAGUACGAGAGGACCGGGAUGGACGUACCUCUGGUGUACCGGUUGUCAUGCCAAUGGCACCGCCGGGUAGCUAUGUACGGACGGGAUAACCGCUGAAAGCAUCUAAGCGGGAAGCCCCCCUCAAGAUGAGAUCUCCCUGAGAGCUUGACUCUCCUAAAGGUCCGUCGAAGACGACGACGUUGAUAGGCUGGGUGUGGAAGCGCAGUAAUGUGCGUAGCUAACCAGUACUAAUUGACCGUGAGACUUGACCAUAUAACACCCAAGCAGU